rnacentral:lncRNA from 10 species
CUACUACAUGCAAGCAAGCAUGCAUGGAGAAAGAAAAGAACGAAGAGAAAGAAAGACUCAACUUUGAAGGAUAGGAGAAACUCCAUAAUGAAGACAAAUUCUCAACUCCAUGAGAAAAGAGUAAAACUUUAAUUGAUGUGUUAAGAGAUUUAUUGCAUUUCUUCUUAUUGUCAGAAGAUUCUAAUUUUAAAAUUGACUUCUUUUUCAGGAAACAUGACAGAUGAUAUUUUGUUUACUAUCACAUUAAGAGCAGUGUAUCAAUGUUGUUUAUAUGUGUUCAUUAUGUAAUUUAUAAUGAAGAUAAAU